AAACACCUCACCUGAGGAUCUUGUUAAAGUACAGAUCUGAUUCAGCAAGCGUUGGUAGUAAUGUGGAGUCCACGUUUUAACAAGCUCCCAGGUGCUGCUGAU
rnacentral:miRNA from 1 species